GGAUUCGUUUUUUAUGUUUCCCUGGGAAGUUUAUCCUUGAUAUGUUCAUCUUACCAGAUGACAGAUAUUUCUCCCUUGAGUUUAUCCCUAAUAUGUUCACUUUAAUCGGUGACGAAUAUUCUCCCUUUGUGGUUUUCUACCCAGUAAAAAGGUAGUCGUAAUCCUUAUUUCAUUCCCUAUAGAGUUAAUCCUUGAUAUGUUCGUCCUAACCGAUGAUAGGUUUUCUCC
rnacentral:lncRNA from 1 species